GACGGAGGGUGCAAGCGUUGUUCGGAAUCACUGGGCGUAAAGCGCGUGUAGGCGGUUGGAUAAGUCGGAUGUGAAAUCCCGGGGCCUAACUCCGGAAGUGCAUUCGAAACUGUUCAGCUAGAGUACGGGAGAGGGGAGUGGAAUUCCUGGUGUAGAGGUGAAAUUCGUAGAUAUCAGGAGGAACACCGGUGGCGAAGGCGGCUCUCUGGACCGAUACUGACGCUGAGACGCGAAAGCGUGGGGAGCAAACAGG
rnacentral:rRNA from 1 species